UACGAAGGGGGCUAGCGUUGUUCGGAAUCACUGGGCGUAAAGGGCGCGUAGGCGGCCUGAUAAGUCGGGGGUGAAAGCCUGUGGCUCAACCACAGAAUUGCCUUCGAUACUGUUAGGCUUGAGACCGGAAGAGGUAAGUGGAACUGCGAGUGUAGAGGUGAAAUUCGUAGAUAUUCGCAAGAACACCAGUGGCGAAGGGCGGCUUCACUGGGCCCUACUCACGC
rnacentral:rRNA from 1 species